rnacentral:lncRNA from 13 species
GUUUUAAACUGUGCCUCCUCCACUCCGAUACAAUGGCAGUAUAGUUCACAAGCCUUCCCACAUCGUCCACCACCUGUUAGAUAAUCUACUACCAGCCCAAGGUCUCUCCUCUCCCUGUGUAGAUAAGCAUUCUAGCCAGUCUGACGAUAACUUCUUUUGUUUCUACCAAGGAACAGACAGUCUUUGUUCUAAUUCUUGAAUAUAAUUACACACAUUAUAUUCAGUAUAUUAUAAUAAGAUUCAUACAUCCAUACAGUAACAUAGUAGUAUUCUGGUUAGUUAUAGUUCUGAUUUGUAAUGUAUACAUCAUUUAGUCAUUAUUGAUAAAAAAAUCCCUUAACAGUAUUGUGUGUAGAUUGCUGUUUUAAUUUCAAUACAUUUUAGAAUAAGGCUGUACUGUGACCAUGUGGAAUGAGGAAAGGGGUCUGAGUACUUUCCGAAUGCACUGUAUAUGGACGUUUAGUUAGGUAGAGUGACUUAUCUGUACAUACAGUCAUAUUAACAGCUUUCUACGGAUGUUGCACAUGAAACACUAAACACAUUGUACAUGGUGCCGAGGGGGAUUCUCCUCUUCUAUUUAAACUCACCAAUGAUCCUUUUAUUUUCUCCUUUUUUGAGAGAAGCAGCUGGCGUGAUUGAUGACUUAACUAUUUGAUAAAGGAGUAUUCUAAACUACAUACUUAGUGUGUAUCCCAAAAUAGCACCCUAUCCCCUAUUUAAAGAGCACACCUUUUGACAGGGCCCUGGGUUUAAAAAAAAAAGAAGAAGUGCGCUUUUUUAUAGGGAAUAGGGAAUCAUUUGAGACUCGGGCCUUCUCCUGGUGAGGUGUUGAUGUUUUUGGUGUGCCCUAAGAGGAGAGGUUUCGUUAAAAACACUUCCUUUCACAGUGUACUGCUUUUUGGCCCCCCUGGUCUUCAGAUGAACUCUCUGCGUUGUUUAGGGAGUUCGGUCUUCAGAUGAACUCUCUGCGUUG